AAAAUCUCUCCUGAUUUCAUGGGCUGUUUUACUGAAGAGACAGGUAAAUGCUGGUAUUUCCAAGCUACUUAAGAAGCCCAGAUUGCUCAGCACAGUAAAUUACAUGUAACCCUUCCCUCCCUCUCAGAACAGGUGGAACAAAAAAGGAAGAGUAACUCAUAGGGUAAACAUUAGCAUGGGUACUAAUGCCAUGAGUCUCUUUUCUGUAACAUACUGUGAUUGCUUUCUAUUUUAAGUUGAUAUUAAAGAAGCAAUGAUCCAUAAAAGUAGCAAUUAUUUCAUCCUUAGAUCACUGCAUUUCAGGUUCUAUUCCCCUACAACUUUUCUGUGUUCUAAUUUAUAACUCAGCUAACUGCUCAGUAGGUACUAAUCACAAUUUAAACAAAGUGAAGAGUAUUUUCACAUGAUCAAGGAGUGAGUACAUGAUUAAAACUGAAACUCUGUUUUAAAUCAUCCUCCUGGAACUGAAUACCAUAUAGCUACACAGAAAUUAGACAUAAAUCUCUGCAAAAGUUAAGUGAAGACUUUUACAGAAUUGCAUUACUUUAAUCUUUUUAUGUUCCAAAAUGCAUUUGAAAAUAUCAGAUUCAAUUUUAUUAUUUUUUUUUAUUUCAGAGAAAAAGACAAGAAGGUUCUCACCCUGUAAAAAUACAGGGACUGCUCACUUCUGCAGGUGCAUUGAUGGACAUUACUGGAUUCAGCACAUUCAUAAUGAGAACAUUUUUCGGGACAUAACUGAAGACCCAGUCCAUGUAAAGCAGCUGAAAAUGAUUUACAUCAAAAGAAAAGUGGUGCGAAUUUCAUGUGGUGAUUGUGAGAUCUCUGUGCUUUAUGCUCCUUCCUCACUCCAUCCUUUUUGCAUGAACAUCAUCUGUUUAGCAUUUUCAGUGCUGCAGGGAUUACAACUGUGGCUGUAGCUACUCUGGAGAACUCCACUGUAAAUGACCAAAGUUGGUUUUGUAUCUGAGGAGUUCGACCCACCAUUAGGCCAAGGUAUGUGCGCCUCCGUGCUGCUCGCAUAUGGGCUCAGAGCUACAGGCACAGCAGGCUAUAUGGAAGACAGAUUCCCAGUGUGGAUGAGGGAAUUCCUAGCAGAGGUAUAACAAAAUGAAGUAGGACCCUCUUUGUUAUCAGCAUCACCUAUGGGGAAUCUUUUCGGGGCAAGAGCAGAAGAGGGAGAGCACACUUGUCCUCUUGCUGCUCCCUUCAUGGCCCCUGAGGAGGUGCAGGAGAGGCUGCACGCAGGCCUCAGCAGGGGCAGAAAGGAGAGCACUCAGUGCCCUGCUCUAAAUCGCUCCCGUUGGACUGCUGGAAAUCACAGCAACCACUGACAUCGUGUGUUUCAGAGCCACUCAAAACACAGGAAUUUCAAGUCACCUCUGACUCUCCCACGGCACCAAGCUGUGCCCCGGAGGAGAGCCACGAGGAAUCCAGCCAGCCCUUACCCGCUCUGCAGGCAGAGCGUCCAGCUCUUGUUACAGCUCCUGUCUACAAAAGCAACUUGUUUCGAACGCUGUGCAGAAGUGUGAAUACAGCACACCCCAGCUGGGCAAUAAAAUACUAGCAGUGAGAAUGUGAGACUGGAAA
rnacentral:lncRNA from 1 species